rnacentral:rRNA from 1 species
AUUGAACGCUGGCGGCAGGCCUAACACACGCAAGUCGAGCGGAUGAAGGGAGCUUGCUCCUGGAUUCAGCGGCGGACGGGUGAGUAAUGCCUAGGAAUCUGCCUGGUAGUGGGGGAUAACGUCCGGAAACGGGCGCUAAUACCGCAUACGUCCUGAGGGAGAAAGUGGGGGAUCUUCGGACCUCACGCUAUCAGAUGAGCCUAGGUCGGAUUAGCUAGUUGGUGGGGUAAAGGCCUACCAAGGCGACGAUCCGUAACUGGUCUGAGAGGAUGAUCAGUCACACUGGAACUGAGACACGGUCCAGACUCCUACGGGAGGCAGCAGUGGGGAAUAUUGGACAAUGGGCGAAAGCCUGAUCCAGCCAUACCGCGUGUGUGAAGAAGGUCUUCGGAUUGUAAAGCACUUUAAGUUGGGAGGAAGGGCAGUAAGUUAAUACCUUGCUGUUUUGACGUUACCAACAGAAUAAGCACCGGCUAACUUCGUG